rnacentral:rRNA from 1 species
GGGAAUUAGAGUUCGAUUCCGGAGAGGGAGCCUGAGAAAUAGCUACCACAUCUAAGGAAGGCAGCAGGCGCGUAAAUUACCCAAUUCUAAAGAAGAGAGGUAGUGACAAGAAAUAACAAUGCAAGGCCAAUUUUUGGUUUUGUAAUUGGAAUGGUGGGAAUUUAAAACCUUCCCAGAGUAACAAUUGGAGGGCAAGUCUGGUGCCAGCAGCCGCGGUAAUUCCAGCUCCAAUAGCUUAUAUUAAAAUUGUUGCAGUUAAAACGCUCGUAGUUGAAUUUCAAAGAAUCGAUAUUUUAUUGUAACUAUUCUAGGGGAACUAUUUUAGCUUUUCGCUUUAAUACGCUUCCUCUAUUAUUAUGUUCUUUAAAUAACAAAGAUUCUUUUUAAAAUCCCCACUUUUGCUUUUGCUUUUUUGGGGAUUUUGUUACUUUGAGUAAAUUAGAGUGUUCAAAGCAAACAGUUAAAGCAUUUACUGUGUUUGAAUACUAUAGCAUGGAAUAACAAAAUUGAACAAGCUAAAAUUUUUUGUUCUUUUUUCUUAUUUUGGCUUAGUUACGAUUAAUAGGAGUAGCUUGGGGACAUUCGUAUUCAGAUGUCAGAGGUGAAAUUCUUAGAUUUUCUGGAGACGAACAACUGCGAAAGCAUUUGUCUAAAAUACUUCCAUUAAUCAAGAACGAAAGUUAAGGGAGUGAAGACGAUCAGAUACCGUCGUAAUCUUAACCAUAAACUAUGCCGACUAGGUGUUGGAUGAAAGUGUUAAAAAUAAAAGUCAUCUUUCGAGGUGACUUUUAGAUUGCUUCCUUCAGUACCUUAUGAGAAAUCAAAGUCUUUGGGUUCUGGGGCGAGUAUUCGCGCAAGCGAGAAAGUUAAAAGAAUUGACGGAAGGCACCACCAGGCGUGGAGCUUGCGGCUUAAUUUGAAUAAUCUUAGGGAAUGUUUAGUUUUAUAUUAGAAUUGCUUCCUUCAGUACCUUAUGAGAAAUCAAAGUCUUUGGGUUCUGGGGCGAGUAUUCGCGCAAGCGAGAAAGUUAAAAGAAUUGACGGAAGGGCACCACCAGGCGUGGAGCUUGCGGCUUAAUUUGACUCAACACGGGUAAACUCACUAGUUUAAGACAAGAGUAGGAUUGACAGAUUAAUAGCUCUUUCUUGAUUUCUUGGAUGGUGAUGCAUGGCCGUUUUUAGUUCGUGAAUAUGAUUUGUCUGGUUAAUUCCGAUAACGAACGAGAUCUUAACCUGCUAAUUAGUGUUAUUUUUUAUUAUUAUAUUCUUUUCCCUGUUUUACUUAAUAAUUUGUUUUUUUUUACUCUAUUUCUCUCUUCUUUUAAGAAUGUACUUGUUUGAUUUUAUAAAGCUUCUUAGAGGAACAUUGUGUUUCUAACACAAGGAAGUUUAAGGCAACAACAGGUCUGUGAUGUCCUUAGAUUAACUAGGCUGCACGCGUGCUACAUUGAUAUAUAUAACUAGUUUUUAAAAAUAUGCUUAUAUUUGUAUCUUUGAUGCUUAUAUUUUGCAUACUUUUCCUCCGCCGAAAGGCGUAGGUAAUCUUUAUCAUUAUAUAUCGUUAUUGGGAUAGAUUAUUGCAAUUAUUAAUCUUGAACGAGGAAUGCCUAGUAAGCAUGAUUCAUUAGAUUGUGCUGACUACGUCCCUGCCCUUUGUACACACCGCCCGUCGCUCCUACCGAUUGAAAGAUAUGAUUAAUUGUUUGGAUAUGUAUUAAAAUUUUGUAAUUUUAUAUUUCUUUUUUUUUCUUGAAUAACUGUAAAUCCUAUCUUUUAAAGGAAGGAGAAGUCGUAACAAGGUUUCCGUAGGUGAACCUGCGGAAG